UGGGGAAUAUUGCACAAUGGGCGAAAGCCUGAUGCAGCGACGCCGCGUGAGGGAUGACGGCCUUCGGGUUGUAAACCGCUUUUGUCAGGGAAGAAACGCACUGGGCUAAUACCUCGGUGUAAUGACGGUACCUGAAGAAUAAGCACCGGCUAACUACGUG
rnacentral:rRNA from 1 species